rnacentral:rRNA from 1 species
GACGAACGCUGGCGGCGUGCUUAACACAUGCAAGUCGUACGGUAAGGCCCUUUCGGGGGUACACGAGUGGCGAACGGGUGAGUAACACGUGAGUAACCUGCCCACAACUUUGGGAUAACGCUAGGAAACUGGUGCUAAUACUGGAUAUGUGCUCCUGCUGCAUGGUGGGGGUUGGAAAGCUCCGGCGGUUGUGGAUGGACUCGCGGCCUAUCAGCUUGUUGGUGGGGUCGUGGCCUACCAAGGCGGCGACGGGUAGCCGGCCUGAGAGGGUGACCGGCCACAUUGGGACUGAGAUACGGCCCAGACUCCUACGGGAGGCAGCAGUGGGGAAUAUUGCACAAUGGGCGCAAGCCUGAUGCAGCAACGCCGCGUGCGGGAUGACGGCCUUCGGGUUGUAAACCGCUUUCAGCAGGGACGAAGCUUUUUGUGACGGUACCUGCAGAAGAAGCACCGGCUAACUACGUG